rnacentral:rRNA from 1 species
AGUGAACGCUGGUGGUAGGCCUAACACAUGCAAGUCGAACGGCAGCACAGUAAGAGCUUGCUCUUACGGGUGGCGAGUGGCGGACGGGUGAGGAAUACAUCGGAAUCUACUUUUUCGUGGGGGAUAACGUAGGGAAACUUACGCUAAUACCGCAUACGACCUACGGGUGAAAGCAGGGGAUCUUCGGGCCUUGCGCGAUUGAAUGAGCCGAUGUCGGAUUAGCUAGUUGGCGGGGUAAAGGCCCACCAAGGCGACGAUCCGUAGCUGGUCUGAGAGGAUGAUCAGCCACACUGGAACUGAGACACGGUCCAGACUCCUACGGGAGGCAGCAGUGGGGAAUAUUGGACAAUGGGCGCAAGCCUGAUCCAGCCAUACCGCGUGGGUGAAGAAGGCCUUCGGGUUGUAAAGCCCUUUUGUUGGGAAAGAAAAGCAGCAGGUUAAUACCCCGCUGUUCUGACGGUACCCAAAGAAUAAGCACCGGCUAACUUCGUG